rnacentral:rRNA from 1 species
GUGCCAUCCGGAGAGAUCCGGGGUUCCCUUCGGGGACGCGAACACAGGUGCUGCAUGGCUGUCGUCAGCUCGUGUCGUGAGAUGUUGGGUUAAGUCCCGCAACGAGCGCAACCCACGUCCUUAGUUGCCAUCAUUCAGUUGGGCACUCUAGGGAGACUGCCGGUGAUAAGCCGCGAGGAAGGUGUGGAUGACGUCAAGUCCUCAUGGCCCUUACGGGAUGGGCUACACACGUGCUACAAUGGCGGUGACAGUGGGACGCGAAACCGCGAGGUUGAGCAAAUCCCCAAAAACCGUCUCAGUUCAGAUUGCACUCUGCAACUCGAGUGCAUGAAGGCGGAAUCGCUAGUAAUCGUGGAUCAGCAUGCCACGGUGAAUACGUUCCCGGGCCUUGUACACACCGCCCGUCACGCCAUGGGAGUUGGUCUUACCCGACGGCGCUGCGCCAACCGCAAGGAGGCAGGCGACCACGGUAGGGUCAGCG